rnacentral:tRNA from 1 species
GGGCUCAUAGCUCAGCUGGUUAGAGCGCACGCUUGAUAAGCGUGAGGUCGAAGGUUCAAUUCCUUCUGGGCCCA